UACGAAGGGAGCGAGCGUUGUUCGGAAUCACUGGGCUUAAAGCGUGCGUAGGCGGAUGUGUAAGUCAGGAGUGAAAUCCCAGGGCUUAACCCUGGAACUGCUCUUGAGAUUGCAGAUCUGGCAUUCGGUAGAGGUUGGUGGAACUCCCAGUGUAGAGGUGAAAGUCGCAGAUAUUGGGAAGAACACCGGUGGCGAAGGCGACCAACUGGACCGAUAUUGACGCUGAGGCACGAAAGCGUGGGUAGCAAACAGG
rnacentral:rRNA from 1 species